AGAAGAAUAGGGACAGAAAAACAAGGAAAAAAUCAGAGGCUCCUUUCUUGAACACAAAAAAGAGUAGCGCCGCAUUUCACAAAGAAAGGACCCCUUCCUUGUCAUCCCUUUCUUCAACGGAGAACACACCAAAAAAGGGAGAUCUGGUGAACGAACACCUAGGGAAAAGGUGAGGAAAUGGAGGAAAAUAAAUGAAAAAGAAAACGGGAAUAGAGAGAGAACGAAAAAUACAGUCUGCUUCAGCAUUUCAAGCUCGAUAAAAAGCUAAACAAUCAGCCAUUGAAAGAAUCCCUUAAGCUCCAUAGCUCUUCGACCCAUAAUUCCCUUCUUUUGUCUAUUUUUAUCCAUUAAAAUAUAGCUUCUUUUGCUUUGAAAUAGUAGCUAAAAACGUGCUCAAUUUCAGCCUAAAACACCCUUGAAGCACCUUUGAAACACCAGCCGCAAACCUUUCCCUAAAGCAGCCCCAAACAACCCCGAUUCCAGCUAAAAAGCAGGCCCCAAAACCCAGCGAAAAUCUGCUCGAAAAACAGUCCAAAAAUCAACCUCCACACUCCAAACACCGAGAACAUAGCACAAGUUAUCAACGAGUUCGAGUCGAGGCGGUUCGAGGUCAUCGAUUCCAGUUCAAAUUCUGAUCGAUAAGCUCAUCGGAGAACUUUCAGAGCUCUGUUUUGUGCUGUACACAUUGGGGAACAUAUUCCAUAAUAAAGGUGCAACAAAGGGCGUGGGCAGAACAAGUUCAUUUGCUAGGCCCAAUGCUUCAAUCAGUAGAUUAAGAGAUGGCCCAACUUUCCUUAUCCAAAAAUGAUAAUUUGUUUUUUGAGAAUUUUUUAUAAAGCACCAUCUUUUAAGUCUAAUUAGCCAUUUAUAGAUACCCUUUGUUAUAUUACGUGUUAUAGAUACCUUUUAUGUUUUUAUACAAUAUAUUUUAUGUA